AUUGAACGCUGGCGGCAUGCUUUACACAUGCAAGUCGGACGAGUGGCGAACGGGUGAGUAACGCAUCGGAACGUACCGAGUAAUGGGGGAUAACUGUCCGAAAGGACAGCUAAUACCGCAUAUUAUCCGAGCGGCCGAUGGCUGAUUAGCUGGUUGGCGGGGUAAAGGCCCACCAAGGCGAAGAUCAGGAGCGGGUCGGAGCGGAUGAUCCGCCACACGGGGACGGAGACACGGCCCAGACUCCUACGGGAGGCAGCAGUGGGGAAUUUUGGACAAUUGGCGCAAGCCUGAUCCAGCCAGGCCGCGUGUCUGAAGAAGGCCUUCGGGUUGUAAAGGACUUUUGUCAGGGAAGCGGUACCUGAAGAAUAAGCAACGGCUAACUACGUGCCAGCAGCCGCGGUAAUUC
rnacentral:rRNA from 1 species